AGCAGCCGCGGUAAUUCCAGCUCCAAUAGCGUAUAUUAAAGUUGUUGCAGUUAAAAAGCUCGUAGUUGAAUUUCGGGGUCAGCAAGUUGGUCGUGCCACUGGUAUGUACUGGCUUUGCUGAUUCCUCCUUCUUGUAGAACCGUAAUGCCAUUAAGUUGGUGUUGCGGGGAAACAGGACUGUUACUUUGAAAAAAUUAGAGUGUUUAAAGCAGGCUAAGGCUUGAAUACAUUAGCAUGGAAUAAUGAAAUAGGACGACGAUCCUAUUUUGUUGGUUUCUAGGAUUGACGUAAUGAUUAAUAGGGAUAGUUGGGGGCAUUAGUAUUCAAUUGUCAGAGGUGAAAUUCUUGGAUUUAUUGAAGACUGACUACUGCGAAAGCAUUUGCCAAGGAUGUUUCCAUUAAUCAAGAACGAAAGUUAGGGGAUCGAAGACGAUCAGAUACCGUCGUAGUCUUAACCAUAAACUAUGCCGACUAGGGAUCGGAUGAUGUUAAUUUUAUAAUGACUCA
rnacentral:rRNA from 1 species